CCUGCUGAGCACAAUUAUGAUAUUGGCAAUAGAGAAUUGUUGGCCAUUAUUCUAGCUCUCAAGGAGUGGCGACAUCUUCUAGAGGGUUCCAAGGACCCCCUUUUGAUCAUUAUUGAUCACAAAAACCUUGCUUACAUAGGAGAUGCUAAACGAUUAUCUUCUAGACGAGCUAGAUGGUCUCUAUUUCUUUCUCGCUUUAAUUUUCUUAUCACCUACAGACCUGGUUCUAAAAAUGUCAAGGCCGAUGCCUUGUCCAGGCAGUUUGAUACUGAGGCUAUACUAGAGCAAGAAACGUCC